UUAAAAACGAUGACGAAGAUGAGGAAUGUAGAUGACCAAUCCAGAGAGCUGGUGGUUGCUGUGAACCAGCUUGGCUCUACAAUUUCCGUAGCCCUUCUGAGUUGACGCUCUGAACAUUUAAGUAGGAGCGCUCCGGUUAAUCCGUUACCUUGGAGACGUAGUUAAAUCUCCUUGAGGCACAUACUGCGACAACAAGUAUGUGUGAAUGAGGGUGGCACCGCGGUAUGAACCUUCCGCCCCUCAC
rnacentral:ncRNA from 1 species